UGCUCUGCCUGCAUAAUUCCUGCAGCCCAGGGAAGGAUGUGGAGCCAAGGUUGCAGCUCUCAUCCCAGAAUUCCCCCACUAUUCCCAUUAAUCCUCAGUAUCAAAGGAUUCAUUCCAGCAGCAGCUGUGCUGGAUGGGGCUGGGGUUUCCCAGGGAAGCUGAUCCUGAUCCCUUGCCACCAAACAACUGUGGAAGGAGAAGCGUGGGAAGCACAGGGGUGAAUCCCUGUGGUGGAGCAUCCUAGGGGCACAAAGCCAUGGAUCAUUCCCACCCUGCAGCCCAAAACCCACCAGGAGCAAAGGGGCAGAAAUCCUGCUCUUCUCCUGCUUCCAGCAUUCCCAGUGCUGUUUCCUCCAUAGCUGAUGGAACAGAAGAAGCAGAAGAGGUUUUUGAAGCAGCAUAAACUAAAAACAAGCCUUUUUUCCUUAUUUUUCCCCAGGGAAUCAGCAGAAGCAUGGGAUUAAGACUGGAAAGGGGGAUCUUGUCCCCUUCCCAAUUAUUUAAUGGUGGGAAACAAGUGCAGCCAGCACUCUGGGAUUUUUCCACCCACUACCAUGAAAACGUACCCGGUUCUGGAUGUUCCCUCUUCCCAUCUCAGAUGCUCCAGAGGAUGUGGGGAAGGAGCCGUGCAUCCGUUUUGGGAACACGUUGUCUGCCUGAAACAUGUCAGAAUCGGCCACAAAUUGCAGAUGAGACUGAUAACAAAAGCCAACAACAGAAAAUAGGUAGAAAAACAACACGGUGGAGGCUGAGACCACUGAAGGGCUUUUUUGUGUGCUUUUUUAACCAGCUCUCUCACGAUGGAAGUGAAAACACAUGAAAAGAGAAAUGUGUUUUGUUCUCCCACUCCACUUGAAUUAAGAUGCUCCAGCACCAAACCAGGGUUGAACCCUGUGGCUGGAGCUGCUGCCCAGUCCAGGGACUCACAAAUCAGCAUUUUGGCACCUAUGAGGGUGCUUGGAUGUGUUUUGGGGGAGGUUUAUGGUAUUUUUUAACCUUAAAACAUGUGCCCUGCAGCACGUGGGUAACACUGCUCAUUUUCUCGACCCAGGCUGCUCUACCUGAACGUCUCUGCUCGAAUAAAUCAGGCUCCAGCUCAGAAAUUAGGAUGAGG
rnacentral:lncRNA from 1 species